rnacentral:tRNA from 1 species
GGACAGGUAUCGAAGUGGUCAUAACGGCCCUGACUCGAAAUCAGGUUACGGGCAACCGUACGUGGGUUCGAAUCCCACCCUGUCCGCCA